rnacentral:sRNA from 1 species
GAGACUUAGAAAUACUGGAGAAUCUUAAUCAGCUCAUAGCCGUUGACAACCAACUUCUGCAUGUGAAGGAUUUGGAGUUUUUACUGAACAAGUUGAUGAAGCUGUGGAAAAUUGAUCUAAAUGGAAAUCCUGUUUGUCUCAAACCAAAAUACAGGGACAGACUGAUAUUGGUGUCCAAAUCACUGGGUAACUUCAAAACAAUGCAUCAUAUAGUUCCUGUUUAUUACCCACAGGAAUCUCUCUUUGAAGCAAUCUGAAAGCUUGCUGACAAAAAAUGAUGUGCAUGAACCUCACCUCUUCCAUAACCCCGAAGAAAAAGAAAAUUUGUUUGUGGAAAAUGAGUAAAUUCAGCCUCAAGUGACAGGAAACGUUUGAUUUUGUUUUUAACCUUAUAGGACUAGGCAACAAUAUCUUUUGUGGGUUUGUAGCUUUAUGGUAUCUCAUAAUAUAAGAAAAACUUUUAA